GCCAGCCCUCAUAGGAAGAGAAAUUAAAAAAAAAUCCCUUCUUUAAGCAAGAAAUUAACCAAAUUGAAAAUACAAUUCUUUAAACAUGGGGUGCAUUAUUUUUAAUCUUAUAAAACGUCAAAACCUAAUGUCGUUUAAGAUCCCGCUUCCUGUUUAUCAACUAAGCCCGGCGGACUUUAUUGUCGUUACUUCCAGUGCGGAAGGACAUGAGAGGCCUUGGCUUGGCUUCCUGUAGGGCGUCAUCGUCUUCACUCAACAAUCUCUCGCAAGUUCAGGAAUCGUUCAAUCAGCUUAAAUCAAGCGGCGAAAGCGCUUCAAAGCCCAAAGCUGAUCGAAAUCACGUCAGCAACGUUGAAGCUUCUUUGAGAGGUAAUACUCCCUAUUCGCUGGACCCUCAGCUUAGAAGGGCGAACUCAGCAUCAAUCACAAGCGGUCCAAUUUCAGCUAAUACAUGUAGUAAGUCAAUUGAUCACCGUUACUUUUCUCGAAUUCUAUCGAGAAAUGACUGUUUUUUAUUACUGAACCACGACCGUAGUGCAAAGAGGAUUAUAUUGAAUCCUCAGUUUGUUAUUAGCAUCUUGCAAAAUCAGGAAAACCCAUUGCAUUCUUUGAAAUUUUAUAUCUGGGUCUCCAAAAUCGACCCGUCAUUUGCAAAGAAUCAAUCCGUUAAGGCUGUUUUAGCUAAUUGCCUUUAUAGGAAAGGGCCUGUUUUGUUGUCGGUUGAAUUGCUUAAAGAUAUUAGAAACUCGGGUUAUCGAGUCAAUGAAGAUAUGCUUUGCGUUUUGAUUGGUAGCUGGGGCAGAUUGGGAUUGGUAAAGUAUUGUGAUGAAAUAUUUGGGCAGAUAUCUUUCCUGGGUAUUUGUCCUAGUACUAGGUUAUAUAAUGCGGUUAUUGAUGCAUUGAUCAAAUCCAAUUCUCUUGACUUGGCUUAUCUGAAGUUCCAACAGAUGUCAGCGGAUAAUUGCAAACCAGAUAGGUUUACUUAUAAUAUACUUAUUCAUGGAGUCUGUAGGAUCGGUGUAAUGGAUGAAGCACUCAGGUUGGUUAAGCAGAUGGAGGGUUUGGGAUUUCCACCUAAUGUGUUCACGUAUACAAUCUUAAUUGAUGGAUUCUUAAAUGCAAAGAGAGUUGAUGAAGCCUUUAGGGUUUUAGAGACGAUGAAGGCUCGAAAGUUGAGUCCCAAUGAAGCGACAAUUCGAGCAUUCAUUCAUGGGGUGUUCUGUUGUGUGGCCCCAAUUAAGGCAUUUGAGCUGGCCAUCAGAUUUAUUGAAGGAGAGCCUGUCUUCAGGAGAUUGGCUUGUGACACAUUACUCUGUUGUUUGUCAAAUAAUAAUAUGGCAAGAGAGGCAGGUGCAUUAUUGGGGAAACUUGGCAAGAGAGGCUACUUACCCGACAGUUCAACAUUUAACAUCACUAUGAAUUGUUUGAUAAAGGGUUUUGAUCUCAACGAGACAUGCAACAUACUGGAUAGAUUUGUUGAGAAAGGCAUCAAGUUGGGUUUUAGCAAUUAUCUUGUAUUAAUUGAAGCUUUGUACAAGGCUGGAAGAGUUUCGGAGGGGGACCAAUAUUUCAAUCAGAUGGUGAAGAAUGGACUUGUGUCGAAUGUCUUUUCAUAUAACAUGGUGAUAGAUUGCUUCUGCAAAACUAGUAUGAUGGACAAGGCAGCAAAUGCUUUUAAACAGAUGCAUUAUAAAGGUAUCACUCCUAAUAUUGUUACUUUCAAUACCCUUAUUAGUGGGCAUUGCAAGGUUGGAGAGGUAAGCAAAGCACGAGAACUGUUGUUGAUGCUCUUAGAACAUGGAUUCAAACCAGAUAUCUUCACUUUUAAUUCAAUAAUUUAUGGCCUUUGUCAAUCACAGCAGAUUGAUGAUGCUUUAGGUUGUUUCAAUGAAAUAGUUGAGUGGGGUGUCUCUCCCAAUGCUGUCACAUACAAUAUAUUGAUCCGUUCAUUGUGUGUCAUAGGGGAUGUUCCUCGAUCAAUGAAACUCCUAAGAAAUAUGCAAAUGGAUGGAAUAAACCCAGAUGUCUUUUCUUUCAAUGCGCUUAUUCAAAGUUUUUGUAGGAUGGGAAAGGUAGAGAAUGCAGAGAAGCUUUUUGUUUCAAUGUUGUCAAUGGGCUUGAUUCCAGACAAUUAUACUUAUGGUGCUUUUAUCAAGUUAUUUUGUGAAUCAGGGAGAUCUAGUGAAGCUAAGGAGAUACUUCUCUCAAUGGAAGCGAAUGGUUGUGUGCCUGAUUCUUUUACAUGCAAUAUAAUUUUGGACACUCUAGUCAAGCAAGGUCAGUUUGAAGAGGCCCAGAAAAUUGAAAAAACAUGUAGUGAGAGCGGCAUUUUGGUAAAAUGUGAGCUUCUUGGUUCCUAAAUUUGUGCUGCUUUGUUUGGUUUUUCACUUUGAGGCAGACAGAGCCACAAAACAUCAGACUGCAUUUUGCUAAAUCUCAUUUGUGGAAUCAUGUGCAUCAGAGAAUCAUGAUAAGAAACUGUCUUGUUCUUAUCAAUUUGUCUUGUGUUUUUGGGAAGAAGAAGUUGCUUCUGUUCCUGGUGGGGUACACAUUCUGAGUUGGUAGACUUGGAUCGAAGGAAUCAGAAGAUAACCUUUGGGCUUGGCACUGCAUACUUCUGAAUUUGUCAAGUUAGUCUGCUUUGCUACUGUUAUAGAAAAGAAAACAGAUGUUCACUAAAAUUGUGAACAAUGACAUGCCUCCUUCCCACACAAGUUUUGCCACGUGGGAAGCAAAGUGGGGUAGCUGGUUUAUGAGGUUUACCCCAGGCAAUGGAGAUAUCUCUUUGCAAGAUGAAGUAGAGUUGCAUCCAAAGGUGUUUAGACAUCCAAUGGACUGCACCCUACCUCCAUUUUGUUUACCUGGUUUUUGAAAGGAAUGAGUUCCUGUUUCUUAUGGCAUUUUAAAUAUGUUUGCUCUCCAUGAUAAAUUACUCAUCUCUAUAAUUUAGAAGGAGCAUUUUACUUUUUUUACAAGGUUUUUGUGGUGACAGUAGUAAUAUUACUUGUCAGCUGCUGUCCCAUGUAGCCAUACGCUUGUAUAUUUCUGAGGCUGUGAUGCCAUAGGAGCGAUAUCAAGUUACUUGUAAUAUUUGUCUCCUUUAUAUUGCAGACAAGCAUUCUUGACUUCAU
rnacentral:misc_RNA from 1 species